rnacentral:rRNA from 1 species
GACGAACGCUGGCGGCGUGCUUAACACAUGCAAGUCGAACGGAAAGGCCCUGCUUGCAGGGUGCUCGAGUGGCGAACGGGUGAGUAACACGUGGGUGAUCUGCCCCUUACUUUGGGAUAAGCCUGGGAAACUGGGUCUAAUACUGGAUAGGACCAUGCUGUAGGUGGUGUGGUGGAAAGAUUAGUUUCGGUAAGGGAUGAGCUCGCGGCCUAUCAGCUUGUUGGUGGGGUAAUGGCCUACCAAGGCGUCGACGGGUAGCCGGCCUGAGAGGGUGGACGGCCACAUUGGGACUGAGAUACGGCCCAGAAUCCUACGGGAGGCAGCAGUGGGGAAUAUUGCACAAUGGGCGCAAGCCUGAUGCAGCGACGCCGCGUGGGGGAUGACGGCCUUCGGGUUGUAAACUCCUUUCAGCCAUGACGAAGCCCUUGUGGUGACGGUAGUGGUAGAAGAAGCACCGGCUAACUACGUG